UUGUUUGGUGUAUUUUAAAAGUAGAAAAGGGUACAUCGGUCACAUAGCUAGCAGACACAGCGAAGUUCUACGAGACUCCAGCCCCGUCCUAACAAAUUCACAAGCCGAAGCUCUAGCGAAACAGACUGCGACCAUUCAGACUGACAUCAAAGAGGAAAUUGAUCCAGAAAUGUCUAUACCAAAGUCAAGUGUGCCGAAUUAUCAAAACAAUGGGAAACAAAUAAAUAGCGUGUUAGUGAGAAAUCCGGAAAAUAAAAAGGGUCUUAAAAAUAGAGAACAUAGAGG
rnacentral:misc_RNA from 1 species